CCUACGGGGUGCAGCAGUGGGGAAUAUUGCGCAAUGGGCGAAAGCCUGACGCAGCGACGCCGCGUGAGGGAUGAAGGUCUUCGGAUCGUAAACCUCUGUCAGCAGGGAAGAACGGUCACUGUGCUAAUCAGCAGUGAAUUGACGGUACCUGCAAAGGAAGCACCGGCUAACUCCGUGCCAGCAGCCGCGGUAAUACGGAGGGUGCGAGCGUUAAUCGGAAUUACUGGGCGGAAAGCGCUCGUAGGCGGUAUGUCAAGUCAAGGGUGAAAUCCCCGCGCUCAACGUGGGAACUGCCUUUGAAACUGGCAGACUGGAGUGUGUGAGAGGAUAGCGGAAUUCCAGGUGUAGGAGUGAAAUCCGUAGAUAUCGGGAGGAACAUCAGUGGCGAAGGCGACUAUCUGGCACAUAACUGACGCUGAGGAGCGAAAGCGUGGGUAGCAAACAGGAUUAGAUACCCUUGUAGUC
rnacentral:rRNA from 1 species